UGGUACAGACAGGUAGAACAGACAGACAGGUAACCUACCUGCAGGUGUUUGGUACAGACAGGUAGAACAGACAGACAGGUAACCUACCUGCAGGUGUUUGGUACAGACAGGUAGAACAGACAGACAGGUAACCUACCUGCAGGUGUUUGGUACAGAGUUUACAACAGAAGAGUUCAUGUGAUUUCCUCAUGUGCUG